rnacentral:tRNA from 1 species
GCCCGGGUGGCUCAGUCGGUUAAGCGUCCGACUCUUGAUUUCGGCUCAGGUCAUGAUCUCACGGUUCGUGGGUUCGAGCCCCACGUCGGGCU